rnacentral:rRNA from 1 species
CCUACGGGUCGCAGCAGUGGGGAAUAUUGGACAAUGGGCGAAAGCCUGAUCCAGCCAUGCCGCGUGUGUGAAGAAGGCCUUCGGGUUGUAAAGCACUUUCAGUGGGGAAGAAAGCCUUGGGGCUAAUACCCUCGAGGAAGGACAUCACCCACAGAAGAAGCACCGGCUAACUCCGUGCCAGCAGCCGCGGUAAUACGGAGGGUGCGAGCGUUAAUCGGAAUUACUGGGCGUAAAGCGCGCGUAGGCGGUCUGAUAAGCCGGUUGUGAAAGCCCCGGGCUCAACCUGGGAACGGCAUCCGGAACUGUCAGGCUAGAGUGCAGGAGAGGAAGGUAGAAUUCCCGGUGUAGCGGUGAAAUGCGUAGAGAUCGGGAGGAAUACCAGUGGCGAAGGCGGCCUUCUGGACUGACACUGACGCUGAGGUGCGAAAGCGUGGGUAGCAAACAGGAUUAGAUACCCGUGUAGUC